rnacentral:rRNA from 1 species
GAUGAACGCUGGCGGCGUGCUUAACACAUGCAAGUCGAACGAAGUCUUCGGACUUAGUGGCGGACGGGUGAGUAACGCGUGGGAAUCUGCCUUCAGGAGGGGGAUAACAGAGGGAAACCUUUGCUAAUACCCCAUAUGCCUACGGGUGAAAUGAAAUUCGCCUGAAGAUGAGCCCGCGUCUGAUUAGCUAGUUGGUGGGGUAAAGGCCUACCAAGGCGACGAUCAGUAGCUGGUCUGAGAGGAUGAUCAGCCACACUGGGACUGAGACACGGCCCAGACUCCUACGGGAGGCAGCAGUGGGGAAUUUUCCGCAAUGGGCGAAAGCCUGACGGAGCAACGCCGCGUGAGUGAUGAAGGCCCUUGGGUCGUAAAGCUCUUUUGUCAGGGACGAUAAUGACGGUACCUGAUGAAUAAGCAUCGGCUAACUCUGUGCCAGCAGCCGCGGUAAUACAGAGGAUGCAAGCGUUAUCCGGAAUUAUUGGGCGUAAAGCGUACGUAGGUGGCGAUUCAAGUCUGUGGUUAAAGCCUGCAGCCUAACUGCAGAAAAGCCAUGGAAACUGAAACGCUAGAGUGCGAUAGAGGUAAGGGGAAUUCCCGGUGUAGCGGUGAAAUGUGGAGAUAUCGGGAAGAACACCAGCGGCGAAAGCGCCUUACUGGGUCGCAACUGACACUGAGGUACGAAAGCCAGGGGAGCAAAUGGGAUUAGAUACCCCAGUAGUCCUGGCCGUAAACGAUGGACACUAGGUGUUGUGCG